rnacentral:lncRNA from 1 species
GAAUUAUUCAUGAAUAUUCAUGAACAAUUUUCAUGAAUAUUCAUGAAUAUUCAAGGUAACAAUUCAUGAAUAUUCAUGAAUAUUCAUGAAUGUUAAAUGGCACCUUGAAUAUACAUGAAUAUUGUAUGAACUGAAUAAGCUUGAAUAUACAUGAAUAUUGUAUGAACUGAAUAACCAAGAAUUAACAUGAAUAAUUAUCUGAAGAAUAUUUAUGAAUAUGAAAUAGGAUGUCCAUGAAUAAUGAAUGAUAGAAUAUUCUAGAAUCACCAUGAAUGUGAAAUAUAUAUCUAUCCCAAUAAUGAAUGCUAAAUACAUCCUCUAGAAUAACCUUGAAUGUGAAUAUUUCAUGAAUAUUGAAUGGUUGAAUAUUCUAGAAUAACCAUGAAUAUUGAAUGGUUGAAUAUUUUAGAAUAACCAUGCAUAUUGAAUUGUUGAAUAUUCUAGAAUAACCAUGAAUAUUGAAUUGUUGAAUAUUUUAGAAUAACCAUGCAUAUUGAAUUGUUGAAUAUUCUAGAAUAACCAUGAAUAUAAAAUUGAAUGGUUGAAUAUUCUAGUAUAACUGUGAAUAUAAAAUGAUUUAAUAUUCUAUAAUGAAUUUGAAAUAAGUGUCCUUGAGAGGUGAGUUUUAAGGAACAUUCUAGAAUAACCAUGAUAUCACUUCUGUCUGAAAAUUCUUUCAAAAGAAAAACAUAUAUACAUUUAGUAUGUCAAAACCAAAAGCAAAUACAGACAUUUAAGUUUAAAAUAUUUUUUAAUCAUGAUAGCUGUGAAAUAUGAAUUUACAAUAACUUUCAUUAAAAGCAAGCAAAAUUGUCCACUAUUUAAUCCAAACCUUCCCUUGAUCUAUGUGUUUUUCAGAUCUAUUUUUAAACUAAAAGCAAGCAAAUCUAAUGGAGCAAAGUGAUAAUCAUACAUAAUUUUUACUUAUUUACAGAAGUUUUUUUUAAGUCUGAUAGCUUUUUGAACAUUUUGUAAUUUUGCAAUGAUAUCUUUUUCACGUUAAUCUGGGAAUUUUUCUAAAAUUGUUAUUGUCAAAAAUUCAUAUGUUGGCCUAUCUUAUGCCGGCUUGACUUCUUGCUUUGCAUUGGUUUUUCUUCUUUUUAUACUAUGAUCAAUCAGAUAGUUUUCUCCAAAAAUGAGCAGGAAAACAUCUAUGACACAUGACUGUUCAUUCUUUUAACUUCUUCCUCUAGCUUCUCAGUCCUCUUUUCAGAAUCGGCAAAGGUUUUAACAUUGGAGGCCAGUUUUUGCAUAUUCUGUUUAAUCCUGUGAUAAAAAUAAACAUAGUUAAGAAGAAUAUUAAGAUUUUCUAAUUACAUUUUUUGUUUUAAAAUAUCUCGUGUG